AAAGUAUUGGUCAUGGCCUUCAUGCAAUUUGUUCUGGGUUUCUCUGGUGAUGAAAGAAGAAUGAGAGUUUAUAUAAUACUGUUAACUUUGAAGAAAUAAGGCUCUAAUUAGAUUGCUCUACCGACAUAAUAAUUUUAGUAUAUUUUCUUUAGGCAGGUAAGACAUCAAAAUGAGCUCUACUUGGUCAAGAAAUCAAGAUCAAGAGUUCCAGUUUUAUGGUUCAAUGAAGGCUCUUUUGGCCGCUUUGAUGUACCAGCUUGGGAUUUCUGUGAGGGAUCAACCAGCACUCUGGUCUCCUGCCUACUUUUUUCUUUUACAAUACAACCAUGGAAGCGUUUCUGGGUAUUCUCUUUUUUAUUUUUUAUUUUUUGAGGAACCGUCAAAAGUAUGGGUUCAUACACAAGUUGUAUCUUAUGUUGCUUCUUUCGAGCAUACGGUUACCAAAACUUAAAUUAUAUACAUAUUUUAUUGAAUUGUUUUCUGAUUGUUGAAGGAUAUGGUUGAUUAUGAAGUAGAAUGUGAAGCUUGAGGUUUGAAUUUCCA